AUUGAACGCUGGCGGCAGGCCUAACACAUGCAAGUCGAGCGGUAACAGGGGAGCUUGCUCCUGCUGACGAGCGGCGGACGGGUGAGUAACGCGUGGGAAUCUGCCCAUUGGUGGGGGAUAGCCCGGAGAAAUUCGGAUUAAUACCGCAUAAUACCUGAGGGUUAAAACGGGGGAUCAUUAGACCUCGUGCCAAUGGAUGAGCCCGCGUCAGAUUAGCUAGUUGGUAAGGUAAAGGCUUACCAAGGCGACGAUCUGUAGCUGGCCUGAGAGGGUGGUCAGUCACACUGGAACUGAGACACGGUCCAG
rnacentral:rRNA from 1 species